CCUACGGGAGGCAGCAGUGAGGAAUAUUGGUCAAUGGGCUUACGCCUGAACCAGCCAAGUCGCGUGAGGGAAGACUGCCCUAUGGGUUGUAAACCUCUUUUGUCAGGGAGCAACGCCGGCUACGUGUAGCCUGACUGAGAGUAACUGCAGAACCAGCAUCGGCUAACUCCGUGCCAGCAGCCGCGGUAAUACGGAGGAGGCGAGGGUUAUCCGGAUUUAUUGGGUUUACAGGGUGCGUAGGCGGAAUGCCAAGUCAGCGGUAAAAUCGCGGGGUUAAACCUAGUUCCGCCGUUGAAACUGGCGUUCUUGAGUAGGCGAGAAGUAUGCGGAAUGCGUGGUGUAGCGGUAAAAUGCAUAGAGAUCACGCAGAACUCCGAUUGCGAAGGCAGCAUACCGGCGCCCAACUGACGCUGAAGCACGAAAGCGUGGGUAUCGAACAGGAUUAGAUACCCCUGUAGUC
rnacentral:rRNA from 1 species